AUUGAACGCUGGCGGCAGGCCUAACACAUGCAAGUCGAGCGAGGGGCGGACGGGUGAUUAAUGUCUGGGAAACUGCGUGAUGGAGGGGGAUAACUACUGGAAAAGGUAGCUAAUACCGCAUAACCUCAGAUGUGCCCAGAUGGGAUGAGCUAGUAGGGGGGGUAAUGGCUCACCUAGGCGACGAUCCCUAGCUGGUCUGAGAGGAUGACCAGCCACACUGGAAACGAGACACGGUCCAGACUCCUACGGGAGGCAGCAGUGGGGAAUAUUGCACAAUGGGCGCAAGCCUGAUGCAGCCAUGCCGCGUGUGUGAAGAAGGCCUUCGGGUUGUAAAGCACUUUCAGCGAGGAGGCGUUACUCGCAGAAGAAGCACCGGCUAACUCCGUGCCAGCAGCCGCGGUAAUUC
rnacentral:rRNA from 1 species